AUGUAUAUGUAUCUGUAUCCGAAGACUCUGGCAGUUGGAGUAGUCAGAGGAAAUAAACGAUUCCCUGCUAGUAGAAUUCAGACUUCGCGCACUCGCCGAUGUCUCUCGCCUCUCCUCCCUCCGUCACUCCUCCGCCUGCUCAUCUUCCACCUCACCGCCCUCACGCAGCUUGGAGCGCCACGCCGCCCGCGCCGCCGCCACGGAGCGCGCGAGCUGCGGGUCCGGGACGCUCACCACAUGUUCGGCGAAUUGCCGCGGCAUGACACCUCGGCGAUUUGCUGUGCUCUCGCCUGCCCGCCGAGGCAAAGGGAUGAGGAGGUCGGCGCACGUUCCUGCUGUACCGGAAGGGGAUUCUUCUCGAUCGGCUGCCAUGCACGGCCUCGCCGCCGCCGCCACGCCAUGGCCAAGUCUCAGCACUCCACCUAUAUAUAUGUCUCUGAGGAUAAAGGCACUUCUUGGCAAGAGAUCAUCUAG
rnacentral:rRNA from 1 species